GUGUUUGUAACUCAAUAGGAUAGAGUAUCAGACUUCGAAUCUGAAAGUUGAAAGUUCGAAUCUUUCCAAACACA
rnacentral:tRNA from 1 species